GAUUCCGGAAAUUUUGCGAUCUGCGAUGUGGAUUGGCUGUAUCUUGGAUGUUCCCGCUAGAACAAAUACUGCGGACUUGAAACUUGAAACUGCAUUAUUCAGUUAAAAACGUGGGUACUUAAUAAUUACAAUGCACCUAAAGAAAUUUUUGGAAAAAUAUAAAAGCUACAUUUUACUGUCUAUACCGUUGAAAAACAGACGCGGCCUUUGUUGAUAUUAAGAAUCUUGUGCGUUCUUCUGCUUGUAGGGUAAAUAAGCUCCACAUAUUGAUUUUUCAGUAACAGCUGUUUAACUAAACAUGCCAGAAUGCCUUCGUGUUCUGCGUAUCGGUGUAGAAACCGUUCCGAAGAUGCCAAGAAGAAAGGCCUCACAUUUCACAGGUUUCCAGCAAGUGACCCCAAAAGGCUACGGCAGUGGGUUAUAAAUAUGAAGUGGGAUAAGUGGAUGCCAUCGAAACGGUCACUUCUGUGCUCCAGUCACUUCCAGGAGGACUGCUUUGACAGAAGUGGAUUAACAGUGCGUCUCACACCCUCAGCUGUGCCCACUAUAUUCUCCUUCCCUGCUCAUCUACAAAAGAAAUCUCUUGGUCGAAAGCCCCCAAAGAGACCAGUAAUUACAGCAACACCAACAAUGUCUUUUAAAAGCCCAUCGGUAACUACUGUUAGUGGACAUACGGUGCCUACUAUUUUCAAAAAAAUGGUUGUGAAUGAGCACAAUUAUGCAGUUCUGGAGUCAUCUCGGCAAUUAAAGCAAAAACUGGAUAUUUUGAAUGAGCAGCUGGACAUUUAUCAAAAAAAGCUGAGUAAUGAACGGAAAGAGUCAGCCCGGCUGAAAAAGAAGGUGUCCCAGUUAGCUUCGAUUGUGGCAGGCCUUAGGAAACGGAGAAAACAAACAAUGCUUAAUCAAACAGCUACAGCUGAUUGACCUGCAUCACCAUUCUGUUUAAUGUGAUUGAAUUGAUGAAGCUGAUAAAUAUUUGCAUGCAAAAAGUGGCAAGGAUCACAAGGAAUAAACAUCUGAUGUAUUUUUUGCUUUGGACACAAUAGCAGAGCACAAUAGCAUGUCGUUUCCUGAUGUGAGUACUGUUGACCACAUCUCCCGUGUCUAUUCUCAUGCAGUUUCUAGCAGUACGCUACAUUGUGGUGGCUUUCUUCAUGCUACUCUUAAGGAAUCAAUACAAUCACCAGCCAGAAUAUCAUUCUGUUCAUGCAAAACGGGAUUUUUACACACCCUGAAACUUCCAUGGAAGAGACUAGAAACUAGCUCAACAACUUGAGAGACAAUUUUCUGCUGUCCUGCUGUCGGCUCCUUCACAAAUUGUGAAAUAGUGACGAGCAAAGAGUCCAGCACUAGUGUGUCUGUGAUGACUUCUCUUAAUGCCCAGACUUUGGCCCAGUUGGAGUAGAAUAAUGGAGAGCGGUGUUUAUAUGGUUAAAUAGUGAGAAUUGCAUUCUAGGUGUUUUCAGAAGAUGUGCAAACCGUUCAUGGUGGCAAGGAUCUGGGAGAGUUUACGAGAGGUGUCUCCAAUGAGGCCUUGUCGUGUUCUGCUGCCAGCAAUGAAGGCACAGUGAAGCCCAAGGCGGUUGAAUCCUCGCUCCUCCUCAUCCAUGUAGCACAGUAGAGCUUCCUCAUUCGGUCUUUUGCAAGGUGGUACCUAGUAACUGAGCAUCAUAGCCGCUUUUUACCUCAGCAAGCUGCAGGAAAUAUGGUUUCUUCAUCAAGCUUUUCUGCUAUUAGCAGUGGGACCUCCUUUCCCAGGAACCUCCUCCGAGGGCAGCAUCCUGUUAGACGUCUUACCGUUCGGAGCCUGAGUCAGUAGCCAGAAGGGCCUGGAGUGAGCAAAGUACCUGAUCUUUUUCAAAAGAAACAUUUUCUUACCUUUUUUGUAUGUACCUAUGAGUGUUUAACCUGCACAGAAAAAAAGACUGCUUGUUCUCUAUGUUCCUCUGGCAUUGUUGAAACCUGAAAUAUUAUAACUUGUUGACAUUUUGCCAGAAGUCUUCCUGUGAUACUUCUACACCUUUCUUUGAAAAAUGCAGACCCCACUGUGAGAACUUUGGGAAUUGUGUAGCUCCUAAGGAAAUGACUAAUAAAAUCUCAGCUCAUUCGCUUACAUAUCCAAUAAAUAUUUAGCUUGAUUUGUAAUUUAUUACAAUCAUUUAUUUAGCCAGUGCUUUUAUCCAGGAAAGCAAGGUCAGCCAGGCCCUGAAGUAGUUGAACUUGAGGACCUUGUUCAGGAGCCCAAAUGUGGCGUCAACUCUGCUGACCAUGAGAUUUGAACCAAUGACCUUUUUAUAUCAAACAUUGCAUCCUGAAGAAUUAAACUAUAAACCACU